CGCUGGCGGCGUGCCUAAUACAUGCAAGUCGAGCGAACAGAAGGGAGCUUGCUCCCGGAUGUUAGCGGCGGACGGGUGAGUAACACGUGGGUAACCUGCCUGUAAGACUGGGAUAACUCCGGGAAACCGGAGCUAAUACCGGAUAGUUCCUUGAACCGCAUGGUUCAAGGAUGAAAGACGGUUUCGGCUGUCACUUACAGAUGGACCCGCGGCGCAUUAGCUAGUUGGUGGGGUAAUGGCUCACCAAGGCGACGAUGCGUAGCCGACCUGAGAGGGUGAUCGGCCACACUGGGACUGAGACACGGCCCAGACUCCUACGGGAGGCAGCAGUAGGGAAUCUUCCGCAAUGGACGAAAGUCUGACGGAGCAACGCCGCGUGAGUGAUGAAGGUUUUCGGAUCGUAAAGCUCUGUUGUUAGGGAAGAACAAGUGCGAGAGUAACUGCUCGCACCUUGACGGUACCUAACCAGAAAGCCACGGCUAACUACGUGCCAGCAGCCGCGGUAAUACGUAGGUGGCAAGCGUUGUCCGGAAUUAUUGGGCGUAAAGGGCUCGCAGGCGGUUUCUUAAGUCUGAUGUGAAAGCCCCCGGCUCAACCGGGGAGGGUCAUUGGAAACUGGGAAACUUGAGUGCAGAAGAGGAGAGUGGAAUUCCACGUGUAGCGGUGA
rnacentral:rRNA from 1 species